rnacentral:rRNA from 1 species
AGAGUUUGAUCCUGGCUCAGAUUGAACGCUGGCGGCAUGCCUAACACAUGCAAGUCGAACGGCAACGCGGGGGCAACCCUGGCGGCGAGUGGCGGACGGGUGAGGAAUGCAUCGGAAUCUGCCUGGUUGUGGGGGAUAACGUAGGGAAACUUACGCUAAUACCGCAUACGACCUACGGGUGAAAGUGGGGGACCGCAAGGCCUCACGCGAUCAGAGGAGCCGAUGCCGGAUUAGCUAGUUGGCGGGGUAAAGGCCCACCAAGGCGACGAUCCGUAGCUGGUCUGAGAGGAUGAUCAGCCACACUGGAACUGAGACACGGUCCAGACUCCUACGGGAGGCAGCAGUGGGGAAUAUUGGACAAUGGGCGCAAGCCUGAUCCAGCAAUGCCGCGUGUGUGAAGAAGGCCUUCGGGUUGUAAAGCACUUUUGUACGGGAAGAAAAGCUUCGGGUUAAUAACCUGGGGUCAUGACGGUACCGUAAGAAUAAGCACCGGCUAACUUCGUGCCAGCAGCCGCGGUAAUA